rnacentral:tRNA from 1 species
GCAGGCGUUGGUGCGCGAGGCGGGGCAGCGGAUUGCACGUCCGCUGGACGAAUCGCGCGAGUACUAUCUGGUGUUCGUGUUGCUGCGCUUCCA